CCAUAUAUAAGGCUAUCAUGUGGGAUACUGUCUGGUGAGCCGCUGUAUCUAAGCCAUCAUGUGUGAUAAGUCUGCUGAGCCGCUGUAUCUAAGCCUAUCAUGUGUGAUACUGUCUGCUGAGCCGCUGUAUCUAAGGCCAUCAUGUGUGAUACUGUCUGCUGAGCUAUGUAUCUAAUCCUAUCAUGCCCGAUACUGUCUGCUAAGCUUUAUCUGACCAUGAUACUGCUGGCCGAGCCUGUGUAUCUAGGCCUAUUGUGUGAUACAGUCUCAGGGAACCAUGCAGCAGCAUGAAGGAUUACAGGCGACAUUGUGUGGAGAGGAGAUACAUGUAUUUCGGACGCCGCUGGACCCAGGACACACACUGCAGUAGACACUUUACACA